UACUCCUACGGGAGGCAGCAGUAGGGAAUCUUCGGCAAUGGACGGAAGUCUGACCGAGCAACGCCGCGUGAGUGAAGAAGGUUUUCGGAUCGUAAAGCUCUGUUGUAAGAGAAGAACGAGUGUGAGAGUGGAAAGUUCACACUGUGACGGUAUCUUACCAGAAAGGAACGGCUAACUACGUGCCAGCAGCCGCGGUAAUACGUAGGUCCCGAGCGUUGUCCGGAUUUAUUGGGCGUAAAGCGAGCGCAGGCGGUUAGAUAAGUCUGAAGUUAAAGGCUGUGGCUUAACCAUAGUACGCUUUGGAAACUGUUUAACUUGAGUGCAAGAGGGGAGAGUGGAAUUCCAUGUGUAGCGGUGAAAUGCGUAGAUAUAUGGAGGAACACCGGUGGCGAAAGCGGCUCUCUGGCUUGUAACUGACGCUGAGGCUCGAAAGCGUGGGGAGCAAACAGGAUUAGAUACCCUGGUAGUCCACGCCGUAAACGAUGAGUGCUAGGUGUUAGACCCUUUCCGGGGUUUAGUGCCGUAGCUAACGCAUUAAGCACUCCGCCUGGGGAGUACGACCGCAAGGUUGAAACUCAAAGGAAUUGACGGA
rnacentral:rRNA from 1 species